AGGGUUCGAUUCUGGCUCAGGACGAACGCUGGCGGCGUGCCUAACACAUGCAAGUCGAGCGGGGACAUACGACGGAACCAAAGUUUCGGAUGGAGGUGAAGAUGUAUGUUCUAGCGGCGGACGGGUGAGUAACGCGUGAGCAACCUGUCCCUUACAGGGGGAUAACACAGCGAAAGUUGUACUAAUACCGCAUGAGACCACGGGGAGACAUCUUUCAGGGGUCAAAGGAGCAAUCCGGUAAGGGGUGGGCUCGCGUCCGAUUAGAUAGUUGGUGAGGUAACGGCCCACCAAGUCGACGAUCGGUAGCCGACCUGAGAGGGUGAUCGGCCACAUUGGGACUGAGACACGGCCCAAACUCCUACGGGAGGCAGCAGUGGGGAAUAUUGGGCAAUGGGGGGAACCCUGACCCAGCAACGCCGCGUGAGGGAAGAAGGUUUUCGGAUCGUAAACCUCUGUCCUUGGUGAAGAGGAAGAGACGGUAGCCAAGGAGGAAGCCCCGGCUAACUACGUGCCAGCAGCGGC
rnacentral:rRNA from 1 species